rnacentral:lncRNA from 1 species
CAGCGUUGCUGGAGCUAAAUCUUCUCUCAUGCCGAUCCCCCCAAAUGAUCCACGCCGCCGCGCCGGGUUCAGGCUCUUGGAUCGCGCGAUAUUCCCUUUCGCUGGCAAAUGCGAGCAGCAAGAACAGGGCAUUCGAUGGAUGCGGCGUCAAUCUUGUUCGAUUAUCGUCUCCUGGAACGCGAUGGUCACCGCGUAUGUGGCGGCAUCCCGCAUCCGAGAGUGAGAGUCUAUGUUUGAUUGCGUCUCAGAGCGCCAUGGAACUCGAUGAUAAUGGCUCUCGCGCAGCAGGGGCAAAUUGUGGCAGCGAAAUCGAGCUUGGGCAAAAAC